rnacentral:lncRNA from 1 species
UUUUUUUUUUUUUUUUUUUUUUUUUCUAGGGCCGCUCCCUCAGCAUAUGGAGUCCUAAAAAGACAAAAAACAAAAAAAACCUCUCUCAAUAGGUGAUUUCCACACAUCAGAAGAGUUUACUAACCACUAAAAUAAAUGGUACACAAAUACUUCAGUAGUUAACAAAGUGUACAUUUCUUAAGCUUUAGGUGGUAUGACAGAAUGUAGAGAGAACAAAGAAAUCACUGAAAACAAUGCAAAUGCACAAAGAUUAUUAUUACUACUACACAACAGCAAAAUAAAUAUUUGCGAGAACUUAACUAAAGCACCAAUUACAUAACUGCAAAGAUAGCUUCACUGUGGAACUUUUGAGGCAAGCCAGGAAAUGCUUAGUAAUGGUAGCACUCAUGAAAUGAGGUGUUGCUCAGCCAAAUUAGGGGUGUCAAAUAAAACUUCUAGUAAAAUUAAAUCCUCAUACUCCAAAUUAGCUUAUGUUGGGGCAUGGAUAAACUUAAAAAAUCAUGACGUGGUACUUUGUAGGCACUAAAGGAUCUUCUAAAGAAAAUUUUUGACAGUACUUGAUUUUUAUACCGUCUUGACUUUAGUCUCUUGCUAAUGCCACUAUCUGUGAGAACCAAUAACCCAUGGUGGGGCUGUGGGUUUCCUUUUGAGUGCCCAAGUCUUGACUAGUUCCACAGCCAGUAUUAAAAACAGGAAUACUGGAAGUUCCUGCUGUGGCACAAGGGGACAAGCAGCCUCUCUGGAGUACUGGGAUGCAAGUUCCACCCCUAGCCUGUACAGUGGGUUAAGGACCCGGCCAUGCCACAGCUGCAGUAUACGUCACAACUGCGGCUCAGAUUUGACCCCUGGUCUGGGAACUCCAUAUGCCACAGGACAGCCAAAAAAAAAAAAAGAAAAUCCAGGCACCCAGCUUCCCAAAGAAGACAAAAGUCUAGUUCUUUGCCUCAGCUAGCACAGAUGAGGGGCCUAUGAGAAAAAGCACAUACUGGGGGGAAAGCAAACCAGUGCCAGUUCCCUUAGGGGAACUUACACUUAGCUCACCUGUAGGAGAUGACCCAACGUCCUUGCUACUCUUCAUCUGAUAACAUUUCUCCUCCUCCUAGGCUGUAACCUCCUUGAGGACAGGGACCAGGUCACAGUGUUUGAUGGAAAAAUUAUCAAAGCUUUCUCACCCCUUAAUCUCCCUGGCAAGCUAUCACAAAGUACUUCUUCAGGCUAGCACAGAUUUUUCUAGAGAUUAAAAGCUAAAACUGGCAUGAGCUGCGUUAUAAACAGAAUGUCCACCAAAAAGGAACUUGUUAUGUCUGUUAAGAGGCUAUUUUUUUAAAAGUAAAUUGAACAAAUAUAAAACAUGUCAAAGAUUUUUUUAAUGGAGUAAUUAAUGAAGCAGCCAGUCAGAUAAUAUAAAGGGAUCAAAGGAGAAGUCAAAGCACACACACACACUAUCUGGAAUGCUGAAAUUGCUUUACAAGUAGAUGCAAAAUUGCUCAAUAUCCCCAGGAUAACAUUCAACUCCAUUACACUCAAAAAAAUUCUUUUGUGUCUGUAUGGACAAGAAUCAUCUGCAUUAUUCUCAUUUUUCCACAAUAUGCGGAGUUAUGAAUUAGCUCAACAACAGUGAAAGUACCUUAAAGUACAGAUAACCUGGAAGAGUGCACAAGACAGAAGUCAGUAAUCUUUUAUGCCCAUGUCAUAGUCUUUCACAAUUUUUCCUGACAACAUCCAUACAAUGGAAUACUACGCAGCUGGCUGAAGAGAAUGAGGAAGCCUUUUCAUGUACUG